rnacentral:rRNA from 1 species
GAUGAACGCUGGCGGCGUGCCUAAUACAUGCAAGUCGAGCGAACAGACGAGGAGCUUGCUCCUCUGACGUUAGCGGCGGACGGGUGAGUAACACGUGGAUAACCUACCUAUAAGACUGGGAUAACUUCGGGAAACCGGAGCUAAUACCGGAUAAUAUAUUGAACCGCAUGGUUCAAUAGUGAAAGACGGUUUUGCUGUCUCUUAUAGAUGGAUCCGCGCUGCAUUAGCUAGUUGGUAAGGUAACGGCUUACCAAGGCAACGAUUCGUAGCCGACCUGAGAGGGUGGUCAGCCACACUGGAACUGAAACACGGGCCAGACUACGACGGGAGGGAAGAGGAGGGAAUCGUCCGCAAUUGGCGAAAGGCGGACGGAGCAACGCCGAGUGAGGGAAGAAGGGCUUCGGAUCGGAAAACUCUGUUAGUAGGGAAGAAAAAAAGGGUAAGUAACGAGGGACGGCUUGACGGUACCUAAACAAAAAGCCACGGCUAACUACGUG